rnacentral:tRNA from 1 species
AAGAAAGUAUGCAAGAGCUGCUAACUCAUGCCCCCGUGUAUAAAAACACGGCUUCCUU